UACGUAGGGGGCAAGCGUUGUCCGGAUUUAUUGGGCGUAAAGCGCACGCAGGCGGUCUUUUAAGUUUCGAGUGACAGGGAAGGGCUUAACUCUUCCAGGCCUUGGAAAACUGGAAGACUUGAGGGCUUCAGAGGGACGCGGAAUUCCAGGUGGAGCGGUGAAAUGCGUAGAGAUCUGGAAGAACACCGAAGGCGAAGGCAGCGUUCUGGGAAGCAACUGACGCUGAGGUGCGAAAGCCAGGGGAGCGAACGGG
rnacentral:rRNA from 1 species